rnacentral:rRNA from 1 species
GAUGAACGCUGGCGGCGUGCCUAAUACAUGCCAGUCGAGCGAACGGACGAGAAGCUUGCUUUUCUGAUGUUAGCGGCGGACGGGUGAGUGACACGUGGAUAACCUACCUAUAAGACUGGGAUAACUUCGGGAAACCGGAGCUAAUACCGGAUAAUAUUUUGAACCGCAUGGUUCAAAAGUGAAAGACGGUCUUGCUGUCACUUAUAGAUGGAUCCGCGCUGCAUUAGCUAGUUGGUAAGGUAACGGCUUACCAAGGCAACGAUGCAUAGCCGACCUGAGAGGGUGAUCGGCCACACUGGAACUGAGACACGGUCCAGACUCCUACGGGAGGCAGCAGUAGGGAAUCUUCCGCAAUGGGCGAAAGCCUGACGGAGCAACGCCGCGUGAGUGAUGAAGGUCUUCGGAUCGUAAAACUCUGUUAUUAGGGAAGAACAUAUGUGUAAGUAACUGUGCACAUCUUGACGGUACCUAAUCAGAAAGCCACGGCUAACUACGUG